UUGGAGGGCAAGUCUGGUGCCAGCAGCCGCGGUAAUUCCAGCUCCAAUAGCGUAUAUUAAAGUUGUUGCAGUUAAAAAGCUCGUAGUUGAAUUUCGGGAUCAAAUUGUCGGUCGUGCCUCGGUACGUACUGGUAUUAUUGGUUCCUACCUUCUGAAGAACCGCGAUGUCAUUAAUUUGGUGUCGUGGGGAAUCAGGACUGUUACUUUGAAAAAAUUAGAGUGUUUAAAGCAGGCUUACGCUUGAAUACAUUAGCAUGGAAUAAUGAAAUAGGACGUUUGAUUCUAUUUUGUUGGUUUCUAGGAUUGACGUAAUGAUUAAUAGGGAUAGUUGGGGGCAUUAGUAUUCAAUUGUCAGAGGUGAGAUUCUUGGAUUUAUUGAAGACUAACUACUGCGAAAGCAUUUGCCAAGGAUGUUUUCAUUAAUCAAGAACGAAAGUUAGGGGAUCGAAGACGAUCAGAUACCGUCGUAGUCUUAACCAUAAACUAUGCCGACUAGGGAUCGGAUGAUGUUAAUUUUUUAAUGACUCAUUCGGCGCCUAACGGGAAACCAAAGUGUUUGGGUUC
rnacentral:rRNA from 1 species